rnacentral:rRNA from 1 species
UGGGGAAUAUUGGACAAUGGGGGGAACCCUGAUCCAGCCAUGCCGCGUGUGUGAAGAAGGCCUUAUGGUUGUAAAGCACUUUAAGCGAGGAGGAGGCUCUCUUGGUUAAUACCCAAGAAGAGUGGACGUUACUCGCAGAAUAAGCACCGGCUAACUCUGUGCCAGCAGCCGCGGUAAUACAGAGGGUGCGAGCGUUAAUCGGAUUUACUGGGCGUAAAGCGUGCGUAGGCGGCUUUUUAAGUCGGAUGUGAAAUCCCCGAGCUUAACUUGGGAAUUGCAUUCGAUACUGGGAAGCUAGAGUAUGGGAGAGGAUGGUAGAAUUCCAGGUGUAGCGGUGAAAUGCGUAGAGAUCUGGAGGAAUACCGAUGGCGAAGGCAGCCAUCUGACCUAAUACUGACGCUGAGGUACGAAAGCAUGGGGAGCAAACAGGAUUAGAUACCCUGGUAGUCCAUGCCGUAAACGAUGUCUACUAGCCGUUGGGGCCUUUGAGGCUUUAGUGGCGCAGCUAACGCGAUAAGUAGACCGCCUGGGGAGUACGGUCGCAAGACUAAAACUCAAAUGAAUUGACGGGGGCCCGCACAAGCGGUGGAGCAUGUGGUUUAAUUCGAUGC